CGCCGGUCACGUGGCGGGCGCGGUAGCACCGAGAACUACAAUUCCCAGCAUGCACCGCGCCCGCUCCCCCGGGAUACCGGGACCGGGAGUGGGUCCCGUUUUCCUGCCCAGCCCCGCUCCGCACUUGCACAUCAGCGUGCCUGAGGCGCCUCACGCCGUGCAGCUGCUCCCGAUCGCCUCCCUGCUCCCUCGGUCUCUGUUUUCUCACCUGGGCGCCGCUCCUGCCUCGCUGAUGCCCCAAACUCUCCCCAGCGCUUGUCACCAUGGCAGGAGCCUUUCCUGGCUGUCCCCACCCCUCCUGCUGCCUCUGUGCUGCUCUCAGGGAGCUCGGCCUCGCCAGGUGCAGCUGAGCAGGACAGGCCAAUUAUCCCCCCAAUUUAACCUCCUUUGGUGGAGGUCACAGAACCACGGGCUGGUUUGGGUUCAAGGGACCUCAGAGCUCGUGUCAUUCCCACCCUGUAUCAGGGGCACCUUCCACUCUCCCAGGUUGCUCUAAACCCUGUCCAGCGUGGCCUUGGACACUUCCAGAGAUGUUGGCUGAGCUCGAGAGACUUUUGUUUCAACUUGCCCAAAGAGCAAACCAAAAAAUUAAGUAAAGCUUUUCUGCAGAAGAGCCCUGGGCGGAAGCUCUCGGGGCUCACCAUGAUGUGCACGAACCCAGACAGCAGGUGUGCAUUCUCAGCACGUUCCAGCACUUUAUUCAUUCCAAACCAUCUUAAAAUAACCAGAUCCCUUUUGUUUCCUGCUGCUGCAGGCUGAGGGAGCUCGGAGAUCUGCUGUGAGGAGAUGGAUUUGGGGAGUUAAAUGAAGCAUUUCCUUUAUUUUGUUUAUUUUAGGAUAUGUAACUGAAAUCCCAAGGGACACCUUGGCUCCAGCUCCACCUGGAGGGAAGGAGGUUUCUUCCUCCCAACCUUGGCUGCGAUUUGCAAACCCUCCGUGAUCCAGGGAGGCUUUCAGUCACUCUUAGUCCUUGGUGGUGUGAGGACAGAGAGAGACCAGGGAAAAGCAGAGCCUGAGGGGUUUCAGCCUUUCCUUGAACUUUUUCUUUGGGCAUGCACCUUUUCUUCUUUUUACAUACUUGCAAAAUAAACCCACUGUAGUCCUUUUUAUCCAUUUCUGGAUAAACCAUUUAACCAUCACUGGUUCCAGCCGUGUUCCUCAUCCCGUGUUCAUCCCUUUACAUCCUUUUAUCUUAUUUUGCCACUUAGUCUUCAAACUCUAUUCAGCAGCCCCAGGAGAACUGAAAAUUUAUGUGUCCUGCUACUGAUCCAUGUCAUCCCAGGGAACAGGGAGCUGCUCUCGUGCCAGGGGAUGCACAGAACCAUCUCCAGCUCCGGAGAUCCCCACGCUAAAGGUCUGGCACCUUUCUGCUCGCAGCACAGGCGGCAGAUGCGACUUCCCCAAAGCUCUCUGGCUUUUGGGGAAGGGAGGUGUGAUUGGUGCGCCGGUGCCACCGCCGGCCUUAAAGGCUCGGAGCAGAGGGGGAAGUGUCACGGGACGUGUGGCAGCCCCGCCGAGCCCCGGCCAUGCCCCUGCAGCGCGCCCGCCCGCUCCUGCUGCUCGCCCUGCUCGCCCUGUGCCUGUGCCUCGGCCAGACCAAGGAUGAGGCUGCUGCUCCCAAAGAUCCUGUCCCGAGCAACAUCACGGGCAAGACCAGCGCCAGCCUGAGCCCACCCUGCGCCAGCCCCCCGCUCCUGUCCAUCGUCCUGGGGGUGCUGGCAGCGCUCCUGCUGCACCUGCGCUGAGCCUGGGGGUCCCUGCAGCCCGUGAAGUGACCGUCCCCACCAUGGCACCCCCCAGAACACCGUCCCCACCAUGGCAUUCCCCAGACGGCGCCGCUCCCAUUCCUGCCGCCCUCCGCUCCCCUUGUCCCCCCGGUUUCGGGGAGCAAAGCAAUAAACGCGCUGGUGCCGACA